rnacentral:rRNA from 1 species
GGCGGCAGGCCUAACACAUGCAAGUCGAGCGCGCCUUCGGGUGAGCGGCGGACGGGUUAGUAACGCGUGGGAACGUGCCCUUCUCUACGGAAUAGCCUCUGGAAACGGAGAGUAAUACCGUAUACGCCCUUUGGGGGAAAGAUUUAUCGGAGAAGGAUCGGCCCGCGUUAGAUUAGGUAGUUGGUGGGGUAACGGCCUACCAAGCCUACGAUCUAUAGCUGGUUUUAGAGGAUGAUCAGCAACACUGGGACUGAGACACGGCCCAGACUCCUACGGGAGGCAGCAGUGGGGAAUCUUAGACAAUGGGGGCAACCCUGAUCUAGCCAUGCCGCGUGAGUGAUGAAGGCCUUAGGGUCGUAAAGCUCUUUCGCCUGUGAUGAUAAUGACAGUAGCAGGUAAAGAAACCCCGGCUAACUCCGUGCCAGCAGCCGCGGUAAUACGGAGGGGGUUAGCGUUGUUCGGAAUUACUGGGCGUAAAGCGCGCGUAGGCGGAUUAGAAAGUUGGGGGUGAAAUCCCGGGGCUCAACCUCGGAACUGCCUCCAAAACUGCUAGUCUAGAGUUCGAGAGAGGUGAGUGGAAUUCCGAGUGUAGAGGUGAAAUUCGUAGAUAUUCGGAGGAACACCAGUGGCGAAGGCGGCUCACUGGCUCGAUACUGACGCUGAGGUGCGAAAGUGUGG